GUCACUCAACCUUCCAAAUAAGAUUUCAAACUUUCAAUCUUAUAAACAUGCAUUGGAAGGAACCUGUAUGUCUUAAAAUGCAAAAUUCUUUAUCACAAUAAUUGAAUGUUUCGCAAUCAAAGCGAUAAUGAAAGACAAAAACAAAAUUAUUUGACUGAAUAUGCAUUUCAUUGAUUGAAAAGUGUGGCUCAAAUUGAGCAAUACACGGGAAGCAAUUCCUGAAAAGAGGU
rnacentral:lncRNA from 1 species